GGAAAACGGGGAAAAUCCGUAUAUGGGGCAGUCUCCUGCCUGCACCCGAAGGUAUAUCUGGAAAGGGAGGAGGAACAGGGGUCAGUCACCUCUUGCAUUGGACAACUGGACAACUGCAUUGGACAACGACCGACAAUAAUCGGAGAGAAUACUUCUGGAACAUGGCCAUACAGCCUGGAAAACACACAACAACCCUCUGAUUCCGGCCCUGAAAGCCUUCGACAACUUCAUCAGGAUCGUUGUGCCCCAGCAAAGAAGUCUGUGCUCAUCCUGAAGCCUUGCACAAGAACCUCGGGGUGAACCAGGGCUCGUACACUACUGCAAAGGAAAUGCCAUUAUCCUAGAAAGGUCUCACUUACGAUUGUCCGGAGAUUCCGAUUUCGUGCACUCUCCUUCCACGAUGGAUAUAUCAUCGACGGCUAUGUCUCCUUCAAUGCCACGGCCACGGAUCCCUUCGAAAAUAACCUGGGAAAGGAUAUGACCCCGGAAAUUAAAAGAUCAAGGAAUGGCAUGCAAAACUAAUUGUUCAUUGCACCAUUAUUAUUAUUAUUAUUAUUAUUAUUAUUAUUAUUAUUAUUAUUAUUAUUA